rnacentral:rRNA from 1 species
GAUGAACGCUGGCGGCGUGCCUAAUACAUGCAAGUCGAGCGAACGGACGAGAAGCUUUCUUCUCUGAUGUUAGCGGCGGACGGGUGAGUAACACGUGGAUAACCUACCUAUAAGACUGGGAUAACUUCGGGAAACCGGAGCUAAUACCGGAUAAUAUUUUGAACCGCAUGGUUCAAAAGUGAAAGACGGUCUUGCUGUCACUUAUAGAUGGAUCCGCGCUGCAUUAGCUAGUUGGUAAGGUAACGGCUUACCAAGGCAACGAUGCAUACCAGACCUAAGAGGGGAACCGCCACACUGGAAACGGGAAACGGGACAGAAUACUACGGGGAGGAGGAGUGGGGAAAAUUGCGGAAAGGGGCGAAGCCUGAACGGACCAAGCCGCGGUGGGGAAGAAGGUUUUCGGGUUCUAAAACCCUUUUUUUAGGGAAGAAAAUAAUUGGUAUAAAACCGGGCACAUCUGAAGGGAACAAAAUAAAAAAGCCCCGGUAAACUAGGU